rnacentral:rRNA from 1 species
CCUACGGGAGGCAGCAGUAAGGAAUAUUGGUCAAUGGACGCAAGUCUGAACCAGCCAUGCCGCGUGAAGGAUGAAGGUCCUCUGGAUUGUAAACUUCUUUUAUCUGGGACGAAAAAAGGGCUUUCUAGCUCGUCUGACGGUACCAGAGGAAUAAGCACCGGCUAACUCCGUGCCAGCAGCCGCGGUAAUACGGAGGGUGCAAGCGUUAUCCGGAUUCACUGGGUUUAAAGGGAGCGUAGGUGGGCAGGUAAGUCAGUGGUGAAAUCUUCGAGCUUAACUCGGAAACUGCCAUUGAUACUAUCUGUCUUGAAUAUUCUGGAGGUAAGCGGAAUAUGUCAUGUAGCGGUGAAAUGCUUAGAUAUGACAUAGAACACCAAUUGCGAAGGCAGCUUACUACGGGAUUAUUGACACUGAGGCUCGAAAGCGUGGGGAUCAAACAGGAUUAGAUACCCUGGUAGUCCACGCCCUAAACCGAUGGAUACUCGACAUCAGCGAUACACUGUUGGUUGUCUGAGNGAAGACAUUAAGUAUCCACCGUUGGUAGGUACGACCGCGAGGUUAGUAAACGUUAAACGGUAAGUUAGUACGGCGUGAGACGUUAGCCGACGGACGACGACGAGGGGAGGAGGG